rnacentral:rRNA from 1 species
AAGGGGCAGUAAGGCGUGGAUAACGUACCCCCGAGACUGGGAUAACCACGUGAAAACGUGGCUAAUACCGGGUAACGCAGCGGAGUCGCAUGGCUCUGCUGCCAAAGGUGUGAAUCCGUUCGGGGAGCGGUUCACGUGCUAUUAGCUUGUUGGCGGGGUAACGGCCCACCAAGGCUGAGAUGGCUAGCGGGUGUGAGAGCACGACCCGCGCCACUGGCACUGAGACACUGGCCAGACACCUACGGGUGGCUGCAGUCGAGGAUCUUCGGCAAUGGGCGCAAGCCUGACCGAGCGACGCCGCGUGUGGGAUGAAGGCCUUCGGGUUGUAAACCACUGUCGAGGGGGAUGAAGGGUAGGUGGGUACUCCCAUCUAUCACGCUUGACACAUCCCUGGAGGAAGCACGGGCUAAGUUCGUGCCAGCAGCCGCGGUAAGACGAACCGUGCAAACGUUGUUCGGAUUCACUGGGCUUAAAGGGCGCGUAGGCGGCUUGGCAAGUCUGUGGUGAAAUCUUUCGGCUCAACCGGAAAAUGGCCAUGGAUACUGCUAGGCUCGAGGGAGGUAGGGGUCGC